rnacentral:rRNA from 1 species
UGAGGAAUAUUGCACAAUGGGGGAAACCCUGAUGCAGCAACGCCGCGUGGAUGAUGAAGGCCUUCGGGUUGUAAAAUCCUUUUCUGGGGAACGAUAAUGACGGUACCCCAGGAAUAAGUCCCGGCUAACUACGUGCCAGCAGCCGCGGUAAAACGUAGGGGGCGAGCGUUAUCCGGAUUUACUGGGCGUAAAGCGCACGUAGGCGGCAUCGUAAGUUGGGCGUUAAAGCUCCUGGCUUAACUGGGAGAGGUCGUUCAAUACUGCGGUGCUUGAGGUUGAAAGAGGAGAGCGGAAUUCCCGGUGUAGUGGUGGAAUGCGUAGAUAUCGGGAGGAACACCAGUGGCGAAAGCGGCUCUCUGGUUCACACCUGACGCUGAGGUGCGAAAGCGUGGGGAGCGAACGGG